rnacentral:rRNA from 1 species
UAGUGAGUUUGAUCCUGGCUCAGGACGAACGCUGGCGGCGUGCCUAAUACAUGCAAGUCGAGCGGAAAGGCCACUUCGGUGGUACUCGAGCGGCGAACGGGUGAGUAACACGUGAGUAAUCUGCCCUUGGAUUCGGGAUAGCCACCGGAAACGGUGAUUAAUACCGGAUAUGACCACUUCUCGCAUGGGGUGUGGUGGAAAGUUUUUCGGCCAGGGAUGUGCUCGCGGCCUAUCAGCUUGAUGGUGAGGUAAUGGCUCACCAUGGCUUCGACGGGUAGCCGGCCUGAGAGGGUGACCGGUCACACUGGGGACUGAGACACGGCCCAGACUCCUACGGGAGGCAGCAGUGGGGAAUAUUGGAC